AACGUAGGAGGCGAGCGUUAUCCGGAUUUACUGGGUGUAAAGCGCGUGUAGGCGGUGGUGUAAGUGGGAGGUGAAAGCGCUCGGCUCAACCGGGCGAGGACCUUUCAGACUGCACGACUGGAGCGCGGGAGAGGCGGGUGGAAUUCCGGGUGGAGUGGUGAAAUGCGUAGAGAUCCGGAGGAACACCAGCGGCGAAGGCGACCCGCUAGCCCGUGGCAGACGCUCAGACGCGACAGCAUGGGGAGCGAACGGGAUUAGAAACCCCCGUAGUCC
rnacentral:rRNA from 1 species